rnacentral:misc_RNA from 1 species
UUUCCGUAGGUGAACCUGCGGAAGGAUCAUUAUUGGAUUUUGAAACUUCAGGCUGCUGCUGGCUCUCCUCGGAGGGCAUGUGCACGCUUGUUGUCCAUUAUUUCUCCCACUGUGCACAAAUUGUAGACCUUUCAGUAGGCCUAUGUUGUUUUUCACAAUCUCUGAAUGUAAUAGAAUGGUUUUGAAUCUUGGGAAAUACAAUACAACUUUCAGCAACGGAUCUCUUGGCUCUCGCACCGAUGAAGAACGCAGC